AAUUUAAAGUACUUUGCCACGAGUCCUUUACAUCUGCCACUCAACCUUUAACCCCACUAUCUCUAUGCAACUGACGAGCACAAAAAGAAAACCUCAGAAUUUUCAGAACCCCUGUUUGAUUUGAUCAAUCUUCUCAAAAUUAAUUCUUCACAAUCACAAUCUCAAUGGAUUGAUCACAAACUGAUUAAUUUUGGUAUCUAUUUAUUCUCAUUGGAUAAUUAAAAAAACAAUCACCGGAAACAGCCCAUGUUUGAUUUGAUCUCUCCUCUGAAAACUGAUUCUUCGUAAUCACAAUCCCAAAUGAUUCAGGUUUUUUCUAUUUAAGUGGUGCUUAAAAUUAUGAUGGACAAGAGUACGUUUGUUCAAUAGGUAAGAUUAAUUGCUUAAAAAUCAUGAUUCAAACUUUGAGUGUGUUCGCAGGUGCAUAGCGUAAUUCAUGAAUAUUCGUCGAGAACCUUACUUUUUGAGUAUUUGUUGAAGCAUACUGCAAUCAUCAAGGUCAGUGAACGAUGGAGAGAAGAUGGUAGGUGCUGAAAUCAUGAAAAACUAAUAGCAAAACAGCCGUCGAGAGUUUGUUCGUUAAAGAUAGUUGUUAGUGCCUACAUUCUUGUUCAGUUUCUUUAUAGACGGUGGACUAACCAAUGACUUACCUCAAGCAACCCAAAUAGUGUUUAGAGAUUGUACUUGAACUCCAAAAUAUCACUCAUGUCGAUUGCAACAUAGAAUGAAACUUCAUCAUCACCCUAUAACUAAUGCAUGUCCGAGUACUAUUUUGCACCUUCCAUAAAUUCAGGAGCCUCUGCUAAGAUUUUUUGCUGUCACAGUUUUCUCCAUUUUCUCUUCCGAGGUUUUUUCUUGCAGCCUCACUUGGUAACAUUUCCCAUUCAGGUAUGCCUCUUUAUCUGUACAUAGCCAUUAAAAGAUUAGUUUUUAUUUAUUAUUCGCAAACCAUAUAAUUAAACUGUUAACAUAGCACGUGAUUGUGAUGUGCAUUCCCCGGUCCAUUUAGAAUGCCAGUUUUUUGGUGUUAGUAAGUGGGCAAUGCACAUUUUGUUUGAGUUGCUUUUCCUUUUUGCUUCAUACGUUUGAAAGUUCCACUUAUGGUGCACAUCUAAUUAUUCCUGGAUGGAUUCAACCAGAAAUCUCACGCCUAUCUUUUAGAUUAUAUCAGUAAAACGUUUAGUGUGAACUUGAGAGUUUCUCUUUAAGUAGCUGUUAGUAUAAAUUUUGAAUGAGUAAGCAGAGACCAUAAACUGCUCCUGCACCAGAACUUACUUUUACAUACCGUGACGAGAAUAUCAAGACCAUGGGCUCAUCAAAUUUCAUGGGUGUGACAACAAAGGGGUUAAUUAGCUUUGGUUAAUUCAUGGUUUUUCCCUAAACUUGCAAGGUGUGUGGAUGUGAAAUCCGUCUUUACAGGAUAUGAUCACUUAAAUAACUGGUAGACAUUUUUGUUGGGUUUCCUUGCAUAGGGAUCUUAGAAAAAAUAUUAUGUUUUAGCAAUGGGUUGUACCUAAUCUAAUUUUUGAUUAUUAACUUUUUCUAAAACACCAAAGAAUGGAUGUGACCAUAAUGGGAACGUAGCCAGUUUUACCUGCCAUAACGGGGUGAAGCAUCUAGAGUCAUGGUUGUGGCUCCUCGGAUAUCAUUUGUGACUACCCGUAUAUUAUAUAUAAAUUGGACUUCGGUAUGUUCUUUUCCUUUCCUCUUUAUACGUUAAUUUUAACGUGUCGUAAACUAUUUUUGUAUUUUUAAACAGGUCUUGAAUAUAAACUGGAAUAUCUGAGUCGUCACCUUCUGGAAAAUAGGUCACUUUGAGAGCUCAAGUUUCACUUAUUUGAGAACCAGAGCUGCAAACGAAUGAAAGACAGGUUGAAUAUUUCGAUGGGUGUGGCACAACAUCUCAUAUGAGCUGUUUGGGGUGAUCUCAGUCGUCAUCCAUCUCUAGGACAAUUGUUCGUUGUCGUUGUAGGAAUUUUUCUAGAAAUGCUCUUGGAAAUCAAUCAUUUCCCUCAUUACAAAGGAUUACUGAUGUAUAUGUAUGUUGGAUGCUACCACCAUUCCUCUUACCUACUUAUGGUGGAAUUUUAUUAAGGACAAUAGCCAGUUUAAGACUUCAAACUUCAUGAAGGUAAAGGAAAAAAGCUGAAGUGAUGCACACCGGAAAUCUUCCCAGUUUAGGAAAACUGAAAUGAUCAGAAAAAGUCAUGAGAACUUUCACUCAAAUGUUUUUUUUUUUUGUUGGUGAGAACCUCUGAAAAUAUUACUUUCAAACAGUGCAAGAAGAAACUGAAAAUGUUGGAAGUGUUAUACGCAGUUUGAGCUACAGCUGAAACAAGGUUCAACUGCGAUGCAAGAACCACUCAGAAUGGAGAGAUAAUGUGCCUGAUAUCAGCCCUAUCUUGGCAAGACAGAAAGGGACAAUCAGUUGUAGAGUGGAGAUUGAAGACAAGAAUGUAAUUAAACAGUGCAGGAAGAAACUAAAAUUGCUGGAAGAAAACUCUGACACUAAUCUUCUUGACAUAUCUAAAACCUUUUUUUUCCUGACUUAGGUACUUUGAAGUGUAAUUUUUCACGAGGAUGUCACAAGUGAGCAUUAGCUUUAUGUCUGAAAACUCUAUGUUUGUAAACUUUAACACUUGGUGGAUCUCACUCUCCAUUAGCUAAUAGAUAUUGGCAAUUCUGAUAGUUAAGAGAGCCUAACUAAUUUGUUAU